rnacentral:lncRNA from 1 species
AAUAGCAAGGGAGAUCAAUUUUGGAUUUGAUCAGGACUUGGGUUCAAUUAUUUUCUAAUUAGAUUAGGAUCUAAUUGGAUUAGAAAUUUAUUUAUCCUUGAUGCAACCUAAUCUUAAAGUGGUUAGGAUUAAUUUUGCAUCUGAGAGUUUCUAGUUUGACUGGGACUCUCUUUCUCCCUAAGCACCACCCCACGUGCACGCCAA